rnacentral:lncRNA from 1 species
UAAUAAUACACGUAUGUACAUUUGUAAAUGUUGAGCUGAUAAGUAAAAUACCCAAAAAUCUGAGAAAACUCAAAACGAAAAAUUCCAUAAUCAAAAGAAAAAACACAUUAAUGAGUUAGUAUGAAUAUUUAAAAAGAGGUGAAAUAUACUAGAUGGAUUUUUAAUUCGUAAGUCGAAAAUAGACUGAUUCCAUUCUCAAUUUUAUGAUAACGCCUUGGCUAUACAGUUUUUGGUUGGAAUAGUUUUCCUUGGGUUCAGUUGACGGAUUAUUUGAGAAUUACCGACAAUAUUCUUUGAGUUUACAGUUUUUGGUUGGGCUAGUUUUACUUGCUUUCAGUUGACGGAUUAUUGCGAGUUAACGACAAUAUUCUUUUCUAUUGUUGAAAUAGAUAAGUUCAGGAGAAACAGACGUGUAGAAAUUUAAAAAGAUUCCUUAAAUAGACACAACAAUGGUACUUUAAUUAUUGAGGAAUUUGUCAGUGUAAUCAGAUUCACAUUCCAACCUGAAUAAAACAUAAUUUCGAAUUUAACAACGCCUAAUAAUUGUAAUAUAUCUUGAACAAAAGCGUUAAAACUAACACUGUGAAACAUAAAGAUUAAAUGCCAACUAUGUUUUAGGCGGCGUGUUCAAUUUUUAAAUGUUUAAUUUGAUUUCAGGUUAUUUGUCAAAGUCACAAUGCACAUUAAGCUGAUUUUUCUACUGACGAUGAAAUAGUACCUGUCAUGCUAGAUGCAGUGAUUCCGAAGUCAUCAAGUUUUAAAUAUAGGGGUAUGUAUACACUAAAAAAAAAUGUUUCUAUUUGGUUCUGUUUCAUUUUAUUUCAAAUUUAUUAUGGUAAAAUCGAUGCUGUCGUUUUAAUGUAACAAUCUAUUGCAUCUAUCCUUUAUCAUGUUUAUGUUUUAAUUGUGUUAUUACGAUAAUUUUUAUCCCUGUGUCUGCCUUAAAUGUGAACGUCUUCAAAUGUAAAAUAUGCAUCACACAUACGUUAUUAUGUAAAGGGUAUUUACCUUGAAGCCACUUCUUGUAGCCUGUUAGUAUAUAAACAAAAAUAAUAAUUAAUUUAUCAUUCAUUUCUAAUUCAAGUCAGCAUCAUUAAAGUGACAUUAUUGUCACCAAAAUGGAAUUCUUAAAUAGAUUUUCAGAUGAACAAAGAUUGAAAAAGUAAAAAGAGAAGAAAUAAAGCCAAAAUUAUCAAGAUCUUGUUUUUUUCUUUUGCAGAUCCGAAAGUUUGGAUUGAUGCCGUUUAUUCGCCAAGCAAACGACACUGGAUUUGGUCUCACGAUUCAUCGUUAGUUAAUUACCGUUAUUUUACUCAGUUAGCACACAGUCCUGGUACAACGGAAAGAUGUGUGUUUGCUAUUGUUAAUACUGGUAUUCAUCCUUGGGCUCACGAAUUUGACGUCAAUUGUGAAAAUAGUUACCUUCCUCUAUGUGAAACGAGUCCAAUCUAAUCAUGGAUUCUCAACAUUCUUACAUUAAAAUGUUAUCUAUUCAAUUG